CUCGAUAAGAUCGGCGGCGAUGCGGGCCUGUUGCGUGCGCGUGGUAAAUGCGAGAGAAACAGAAAAAAAGAGACGACACAAGAUUAGAAUACAGAAAGACGAUCAGGACGAAGAGGGCAUUCAUCAUAAAAAACGCAAAGACGCUCUGGUCGCGUAGGUCCUUUAAAUCUUUGGCGACUCGUGCCUGAUUGGAGCAGCAUGGGGUAUAUUAAUUGGAAUAUAUGAAAAAUGCGCUUCCAGAGAGGAUUAAAUAAAGUUCCAACGUUUCGACAUGUUACCUUCUCCGCUUUGUCCUCGUCGAUCGGGUAGAGAUACUUCUCCAGC